CAGAUGAAGACUUCAGGCAGUUAAAUUCAGCUGAUUGAAACACUUAACCACAGACAAGUGGACAGUUUGAAAAGGUACGAGUCUGAAGUGCUACCAGAAUUCUUUAAGUCCUUUAGAAUGCAAGAUGGAAACAACCAUCUGUGACCCAAAUGAAAUGUGCUUUAAAAAAGUUGGGAAAAUACGAAAAACUUAUAUUGCGAGCCGUGGAUGCAUUUCACAGGAUCAGUGCCAGAAAACCAACAUUGGGGAAUUUGCUGGAAUAAGAGUUUCCUUGAGAACAUUGUGUUGUGACAAACAGUUAUGUAACAGAAGUAUGGAUGUGAAAACCUCACUUACAGUGGGCCCGGUUUUGGUGUUUGGAUGGUUAAUAUGUUUUCUGUAGAGACCCAGUUUCUUGGCUGCUGCACCUUGUGUGGCAUAGUUAUUUUGGAGAAUGCCCAUUAGCAAGCGCUUUGAAAAUUAGAAUAUGCCCAUGAAGAAAUUCCGCAAAAAAAUCAAGUACAAUAAGGUAUUGAGGGACAGCCCACCAUGGGUUCCCUUAGUUAUUAUUUGUAUUCCUGUUGACAUGGACAGCUAGUUCAUGCAAUUUUAAAAAUAAAUCACAGGGCAUCUUGAAACUUCACAAAUUUUAAGUGCAGCAGUGAUACCCUAAAUGCAUAGGAAAAAUUUAAAAAGCACUUUUAUGAACAUUGUAUUUUUUUUUUACUCAUCACAACUCUAAAUAAUAUCUUGUUUUAAAACUCAGGGUGGUGUGACAAAUAAUUAAAACCCUUCCUCAAACUUUUGGUUAACUUUUACUGGUCAGCAGUUCAGCUUCCUCCAUACCCUCAAAAGAGGAUAUCAUCAUUCUUACAAGCACAUAGUGAAAAUUGUGAGUUUAUUGCCAGUAAGCAAAGAGUGUAAAGAGGUGCUUCCCAGCUUUAAAGAGAAAUACUCACGUGGCCUCCAAUUUCUGGGGGAUGAAUUUCUCCUUAAAUGCUAUUUUUGUGGGACUUUGGUUCAUAUGAUCAUGUGAAAUUCCUUUGU